rnacentral:rRNA from 1 species
GGGGAAUAUUGCACAAUGGGGGAAACCCUGAUGCAGCAACGCCGCGUGAAGGAAGAAGGUUUUCGGAUCGUAAACUUCUAUCAACAGGGACGAAGAAAGUGACGGUACCUGAAUAAGAAGCCCCGGCUAACUACGUGCCAGCAGCCGCGGUAAUACGUAGGGGGCAAGCGUUAUCCGGAAUUACUGGGUGUAAAGGGAGCGUAGGCGGCACGCCAAGCCAGAUGUGAAAGCCCGAGGCUUAACCUCGUGGAUUGCAUUUGGAACUGGCGAGCUAGAGUACAGGAGAGGAAAGCGGAAUUCCUAGUGUAGCGGUGAAAUGCGUAGAUAUUAGGAAGAACACCAGUGGCGAAGGCGGCUUUCUGGACUGAAACUGACGCUGAGGCUCGAAAGCGUGGGGAGCAAACAGGAUUAGAUACCCUGGUAGUCCACGCCGUAAACGAUGAGUGCUAGGUGUCGGGGAGGAAUCCUCGGUGCCGCAGCUAACGCAAUAAGCACUCCACCUGGGGAGUACGACCGCAAGGUUGAAACUCAAAGGAAUUGACGGGGGCCCGCACAAGCGGUGGAGCAUGUGGUUUAAUUCGAAGCAACGCGAAGAACCUUACCAAGGCUUGACAUCCCGAUGACCGCUCUAGAGAUAGAGUUUCUCUUCGGAGCAUCGGUGACAGGUGGUGCAUGGUUGUCGUCAGCUCGUGUCGUGAGAUGUUGGGUUAAGUCCCGCAACGAGCGCAACCCUUAUCCUUAGUAGCCAUCAUUGAGUUGGGCACUCUAGGGAGACUGCCGUGGAUAACACGGAGGAAGGUGGGGAUGACGUCAAAUCAUCAUGCCCCUUAUGUCUUGGGCUACACACGUGCUACAAUGGCUGGUAACAGAGUGAAGCGAGACGGCGACGUUAAGCAAAUCACAAAAACCCAGUCCCAGUUCGGAUUGUAGUCUGCAACUCGACUACAUGAAGCUGGAAUCGCUAGUAAUCGCGAAUCAGAAUGUCGCGGUGAAUACGUUCCCG